rnacentral:lncRNA from 1 species
CUGUGUGCCCCCCACCCUCAUGCUGCUGCUCAUGUGCUACAUGCCCGAGACCCCACGCUUCCUCCUGACGCAACACCAGUACCAGGAGGCCAUGGCUGCCCUGCGCUUCCUGUGGGGCUCUGAGGAGGGCUGGGAAGAGCCCCCUGUUGGGGCUGAGCACCAGGGCUUCCAGCUGGCUAUGCUGAGGCGCCCUGGUGUCCACAAGCCCCUCAUCAUCGGCAUUUGCCUCAUGGUCUUCCAGCAGCUGUCAGGGGUCAACGCCAUCAUGUUCUAUGCCAACACCAUCUUUGAGGAGGCCAAGUUCAAGGACAGCAGCCUGGCCUCGGUCACUGUGGGCAUCAUCCAGGUUCUGUUCACUGCUGUGGCGGCCCUCAUCAUGGACAGAGCAGGGCGAAAACUGCUUCUGGCCUUGUCGGGUUUUGCAGUAGGCUGGGGACCCAUCCCCUGGCUCCUCAUGUCAGAGAUCUUCCCUCUGCACAUCAAGGGUGUGGCUACCGGCGUCUGUGUCCUCACCAACUGGUUCAUGGCCUUUCUGGUGACCAAAGAGUUUAACAGCAUCAUGGAGAUCCUCAGACCCUACGGCGCCUUCUGGCUCACCGCUGCCUUCUGUAUCCUCAGCGUCCUUUUCACGCUCACCUUUGUCCCUGAGACUAAAGGCAGGACUCUGGAACAAAUCACAGCCCAUUUCGAGGGACGGUGACGGACCCUUUCUGUGACUGGCAGCCCUGAGCUGAGCUGGCUUCGGGUUUCAAAAGGAGUGGAGUGGCCUCAGUGACCACAGUUUGAGCCCAGGGGCCCCCUGACUCCUCAGAUCUCCGGGCCAGCUUUGUCCAGAUCUCAACCCAGAUCCACACCAUGAGCUUCACCAGAUUCUGAGGCUCUGCAGCCUGCUGCACACACAACACAUCUGCGGAGCCAUGCAGUCUCGCCUAACCCACGGGUCUCCUUCCUAAGACUAAAGCAACUGACGAGACUGCGGGCUCCUGGCUCUAGUGCUCUGGCUGGGCAUCUUUGGGGUGCUUGGUCCUAAGCAACUGCCCAUACCUCACUUGACUGGGGGAUGAGAAAGGGACUUAGCCACAUAAGAUUUGGGCUCAGAAACAAGGUCAGGUGAGUCCAGGAAGAAAAGAGAAUGUUCUUGUCUUGUCAACCAAGUCCUUCUCAGAGUGCCCAGAGACCUCCGGAUUCACCUUGGGGUUAGCCAGCUUACCCAUCACUUACAGGUUCUCUCCAGCUCUUCCCUGGUCUCAGUGUCCUGGAUCAUUAGUCACCAGGUCUUGUUGAGUUUCAGAAAAUAAAAGGCCUCUUUCCGUUCAACUUUAA